GCAUGGCCACCUGGGCUGGGCAGGGCUGGGCAGCGGUUGAGGGGACGAUGCCCGGCUCGGCCCCGCGCCCUGUGGCCGCUCCCGGGC
rnacentral:miRNA from 1 species